AAUGGUGGAAACCAGAGCCGUAUAGCAAACCCAUCCUUACACUGCGCACAUCUGAACGAGGCUCAGCGGUGGCAGCGCUUAUUAUCAUUGCUAUAUGAAUAGGAAACAGGAUUAUCCCCUUGAACAAAAGAUUACAUCUCAACAGAUUAAUGCAAACAGCCGGCUAGCGCGAAUACAAAACAUUUACUUUGUGGCGCAUAAAGAUGUUCUAAUGAUGGAGAUUGGUGAUCAACGUUCAGAUUUUUGUUUUAAUGACCAUAUGUUUUAAAGCAACGUCAUUUAUUAACCAAGUCACGUGUGAGUGCCAGUGUUUUGCAUUUCGUAGUUUAGUUACAUUUUCUAAAAUUACAUAUGUACAGCUUCCCUGCUGUGGUCAUCCUUAUUCUCAUGAAAUAGGACCAGUUUCGAUGGCAAAAACAGUGCAAGUAGUACCUUAAAUUUAAUUGGGGAAAAAAAAUCUAAUCAUCAUGCCGAAAGAGUUCAAAAGAAAAAAUCUGAGUGAGGAAAAGAAGGGUGAAAUUCUGGCUUUGCUAGCAGAGGGAUUCAGUGAGCGUCAGGUUGCUUCUAUCCUCAAAAUUUCAAAGACGGCAGUUCAUAAGAACAAGGUCAAGGCUGAGACAUUUGGGACCACAGAGUUACAGACUGGCAGGGGGCGAAAACGACUCUCCACUGAGCGGGAUGAUCGUCAGCUCCUUCGAAUGUCACGCAACAACCGCAGGAUGACAUCAAGUGACCUACAAAAAGAAUGGCAAAUGGCAGCUGGAGUUAAAUGCACGGCAAGGACGGUUCGAAACAGGCUCCGCCAGGCAGGGUUGAAGUCGUGCAGAGUUAGAAAGAAGCCUAUCAUCAAAGAGAAGCGAAGAGGAGCCAGGCUGAGGUUUGCAGAAGACCAUAAGCAUUGGACCAUAGAGGACUGGAGUAAGGUCUUCUUCUCAGCAGGACAAUGCUCCAUGCCACCCAGCCAGGUCAAUCAAGAUGUGGAUGGAGGACCACAAGAUCAAGACCCUAUCAUGGCCAGUCCAGUCUCCAAACCUGAACCUCAGUGAAAACCUCUUGGAUCAAGGGGAAGAUGGAUGUUCCCAGGCCAUCAAAAAUGUGGAAUAUUAUAUAGCGCCGUAUAACACAUAGAGAAUGUAACACUAUUAAGAAGUAACCAGAAGAUGCUAAUAUAACCUGUAGAGCAGGGGUUACCAACAUGGUGCCCGCGGGCACCAGGAUGCCCCUGAGGACCACAUGAGUCGCCCGCAGACCUGUUGUAAAAAUAGCACAACUCACCAGUGAGCAGCAUCUAAAAUUUAAUUUUAUCCUGUUGCCAUUCCUCUUUAAUCACAUUUGCAAUUAUAUCAAUUUGAAAAUGACAAUAUAAAACAAAAACAUUUAAAACAUGUUUAUUAUACAUGAAGUUUAGAUAAGUUUAGGAGGGCGUUUCAAACUGGUAGCCCUUUGAAUGGCUCAGUAACUGUGUAGUAGCUUCAGUUUCAAAAAGGUUGGUGACCCCUGCUGUAGAGAUUGUGACCUUGUAACAUUUAGAGAAUGCAAUUACUGCCGCACAGUGCAACCAAAAUAAGCAUGUUUCUGCACCUUAUGUUAGCCCUGGUUGUAUGAAUAUGCACCUUAUGUUAACCUCAACGUUUCUGCAUCUUGUAUUAGCCUUGGCUGUAUGAAUAUAUGCUUAAGUUAGCGUUGCAGCUUAUCACUAUGUUGAAGGCUAAGAAUAUAAUUAUGUCUGUGGCGAACCAGCCGCAAGUCCACCCGGGGCCCUUUAUGGGCUAGAGGGACUCUAACUGGGCAUGGGCUCCGAGUGGGUUGUGACCGGGGCCCAUUUGGGCUGCCCAGGAAAACGUAAAUGGUGUUCAGAUGGGCAGCCCAGAAAACCCGAAUAUACGGGGCCCACAUUGGCCCUUAAUGGGAUUAUUCUUCUUUAUUUCUAGUGCAAAUCCUGUUCAUUUACUUUCUUUUAAUUUCAGUUAAAAUGUAUAUGUUAGUGCCAUCGAAAGUACUUUUCAUGCUUUUACAUAUUGAAUGUCAUUUUGUACACAAUAUAUAAAAUGUUGACAAAAUCUCUUGUCAGUGUGUGGAAUAUGUAUUCACACAACAAUAUUCUGUAUCAGCGGAAGUACAUUCCUUAAACUUAGAAUUUGCUUAAAACUAUAGUCAGUCAUUCAUACUGGAUGUCAUGUUAAUCUAAUGCAGGGGUGAGCAAACUUACCCACGAAGGGCCAAUGUGCAUGCAGGUUUGUGGCAUACCCUUUAGGUCAGCUGUUCAAACACAGGUGUGAGGACUCUUCAUCCAAUCAGUCCUCUAAUUAGUAGUCUAAUUAGGGAGUUGCUGUGAAAAUCUGCACACACAGCGACCCUUUGCGCAUAAGAUUGCUCUCCCCUGAUCUAAUGCAUGACAUUAUGGUAUCAGCAUCUCUCAGAGUUGCUGGACUAAGUCUUGCCUUCCAGUUGAAAUCUCCUCGGUGAUUGGUGAAAUUGCAAGUCCCACUGCGCAUGAGACCGCUGAAAUUGACCAAUCACAUAUCACUCUUGCAAAUAAAUUUAUGUACCUUCGGCAUGCUUUCAUCAAUUUCUCUUUGAAGGUUCGACAAGCAACGAACGUUCUCAAGCGACGUUUCGAUCCAGUGCUGUGAGGUCACAGUGAUGCCUGCAUCUUACCACAAUUAAACCAACACCGAACCACAAGGAGGCUUCCGCCUUACGUGCCAGAGUGAAUAGGACUUCUCAAAAAACUGCGCUACUCAACUGGCAAGGAACCCCCAGUGGAAUCACCACCAGCCACUACCUUGAGUUACCGUGGUACACCAGCUGCUCCCAGGAUGUGUGUGCUGAUAUCAAAUGGACCAAUCUGACCAAUCACAUGUGGAACAGUGUGCUGUAUAUUGUACAUGUAUGUAUGCCCAUAAGUCACUAAAUACACCCACACCAGGAAGCCAAGAAAAACAAGGAAAAUCACUGAAGAGCUGCUCCCAUUUGAGGACACAGAGAAAUGCAUUCAAAUCCUACCAAAGUCUGACAGCUGUUUAUCCAAGGGUGUCGCCUGGAUCAGGGAUAACGAAAAUGCGAUUGCGUCAAAAAUAAAUGUGAAGGUUAUAUGGGAUAGGAAACGCCUGUUACUUAGGGACAAAGGUCUAGCUUGUUCCUAAAAACGAUACACUGCAGAGCAUCAGUGAGCAGUGUCUGACUACUGAUGAACAAAUGCCUGUAUAAUUUACAAGCACUGACAAGUAUCCGCAUAGUCCAGUUGUCAGUAAUUAUAGUAUUGAUUCUAAUAAUCAAUAGUGUUACUUGCUUAUAGAAGCAGCAUUAAGCUGAUUCACUGAUGACCCCGCCGCUGGAGAUUCUUUUACAUCCACAUCACUGUGGUUUCAGUUUAGCUACUCAACACCACCUACAGCACUCACAGAAAUUACUGCUUAAUUCAGUAAAAAUAUUGCAAAGUAAUUGAUUUUAUAACAAAAAUAAUUACUUCAUUAAUCUGUUUAAAAAGAACGUCUAUCACAUUAGAAACAAAUAGCAGUAAAAAGUAGAAAUAAACUGAAACCCAAAUAAUGGUUCUAAAAGAGCUGCUCUGAGUUAAGUUCAUUGUUCAUUCAGUCUCAUUGGACGCUUUGCAACUAGUAACAACUUUAAAGUAA